GAUGAACGCUAGUGGCAGGCCUAAUACAUGCAAGUCGAACGGUGUCUUCGGACAUAGUGGCGCACGGGUGCGUAACACGUAUGCAACCUACCUUACAUUGGGGGAUAGCCUUUCGAAAGGGAGAUUAAUACCGCAUAAGACAGUAGCUGGGCAUCCAGCAGCUGUUAAAGAUUUAUCGAUGUAAGCUGGGCAUGCGUCCAAUUAGCUAGUUGGUGAGGUAACGGCUCACCAAGACAAUGAUUGGUAGGGGAACUGAGAGGUCAAUCCCCCACACUGGCACUGAGAUACGGGCCAGACUCCUACGGGAGGCAGCAGUAGGGAAUAUUGGGCAAUGGACGCAAGUCUGACCCAGCCAUGCCGCGUGCAGGAUGAAGGCGUUAUGCGUUGUAAACUGCUUUUAUACAGGAAGAAACGACUCUUGCGAGAGGCAUUGACGGUACUGUAUGAAUAAGCACCGGCUAACUCCGUGCCAGCCGCCGCCGUAAUAC
rnacentral:rRNA from 1 species